GGUGUGGCCCUGGCAGGCCUGACAGAUCCCACUGGGUCCAAGGCAAAAGGCAGGGAGGUAUGGCUGCGCAGCAUUCACACCUGUUGGUUCCAGAGUGCUUGGAAACAAAGUGAACAGCUCUGGCAGAACUCAUUCAACAUGGGCUAUCAAUCAUGUUUCUUCCCCACAGCCAAAUGGUCAUGGCUUUGAGGCAGGAUCCCUCGUCCCUCUCCUUGAAUGCUGGACCGAGUGACUCGCUCCUAACCAAGAGAAUGUGGUGGAAGAUAAGAAGUGUGAUUCCUGAGGUCAAGGUCACAAAAGGCACUAUGGUUCCUGCUUUGGUCUCAGCCUGUGUGCUCCGGGGCUGGUCUCCUGUUGGCAGCUGGCAUCAACUUGCCCAUCACCAGCGAGAUCCCUUGAAGGUGGCAGGUAACUGCUGCCUCUUGAGGGACGCCAAGUCAGAAGGCUCCUGCAUUUCCGACCCCAAGAGCCCAUGAGUUGUGUUUCAUGUUUCUUGUCAUGCUAGGCACCCACGUCUGGAGUGAUCUGUCACAUGGCAAUCAAUAACAAGCACCCACACGUUUUGAAGCUGAGACCUCUCAACAAUCUGAUGGAAGACAAAAUACAGCUUCAGGCUCCCCAGAAGCCAGGGCAAAGAUGGAAACUUGAUAUGUCACGCUAAAACUAUUUUUUGGGGUGCGUGUGGAGACUCUGGAUGAGAGCAGAUGUUUGGCAUGUGGGCCUUUAGAUAAAUGGCACCGCUCAGUCUGGCGGAUGGCAGCUGGCAGACACUGCCCCUCUGGGAGGUCACGUCAUGCUGAGCGUGUA